rnacentral:rRNA from 1 species
AAGGAAUAUUGGGCAAUGGGCGAAAGCCUGACCCAGCGACACCGCGUGGGGGAAGACGGCCUUCGGGUUGUAAACCCCUUUUAUCGGGGAAGAAUAAUGACGGUACCCGAUGAAUAAGCCUCGGCUAACUACGUGCCAGCAGCCGCGGUAAUACGUAGGAGGCAAGCGUUAUCCGGAUUUACUGGGCGUAAAGCGGGCGUAGGCGGUCUGUCAAGUCGGAUGUGAAAUCUCCCGGCUCAACUGGGAGGGUGCAUCGGAAACUGAUGGACUGGAGUGCAGCAGAGGAAAGCGGAAUUCCCGGUGUAGUGGUGAAAUGCGUAGAUAUCGGGAAGAACACUAGUGGCGAAGGCGGCUUUCUGGGCUGUAACUGACGCUGAGGUCCGAAGGCGUGGGGAGCAAACAG